rnacentral:rRNA from 1 species
GAUGAACGCUGGCGGCGUGCCUAACACAUGCAAGUCGAGCGAAUGGAUUAAGAGCUUGCUCUUAUGAAGUUAGCGGCGGACGGGUGAGUAACACGUGGGUAACCUGCCCAUAAGGCUGGGAUAACUCCGGGAAACCGGGGCUAAUACCGGAUAACAUUUUGAACCGCAUGGUUCGAAAUUGAAAGGCGGCUUCGGCUGUCACUUAUGGAUGGACCCGCGUCGCAUUAGCUAGGUGGUGAGGUAACGGCUCACCAAGGCAACGAUGCGUAGCCGACCCGGGAGGGUGGUCGGCCACACUGGGACUGAGACACGGCCCAGACGCCUGCGGGAGGCAGCAGUAGGGAAUCUUCCGCAAUGGACGAAAGUCUGACGGAGCAACGCCGCGUGAGUGAUGAAGGCUCUCGGGUCGUAAAACUCUGUUGUUAGGGGAGAACAAGUGCUAGUUGAAUAAGCUGGCACCUUGACGGUACCUAACCAGAAAGCCACGGCUAACUACGUGCCGGCCGCCGCGGUAA